rnacentral:rRNA from 1 species
GAUAAGGUUAAGUGAAUAAGGGCGCACGGUGGAUGCCUUGGCACUAGGAGCCGAUGAAGGACGGGACUAACACCGAUAUGCUUUGGGGAGCUGUACGUAAGCUAUGAUCCAGAGAUUUCCGAAUGGGGGAACCCARCAUCUUUAAUAGGAUGUUACGAUUGUGUGAAUACAUAGCACAUUCGAGGUAGACGCAGAGAACUGAAACAUCUAAGUACCUGCAGGAAGAGAAAGAAAAUUCGAUUCCCUGAGUAGCGGCGAGCGAAACGGGAAAAGCCCAAACCAGCAAGCUUGCUUGUUGGGGUUGUAGGACUCCAAUAUGGUAGUUCUUUCAGAUAGUCGAAUGACUUGGAAAAGUCAGUCAAAGAGGGUAAAAACCCCGUAGACGAAAUGUGGAAGACACC